AGAACGGGGAAGGAGAGCACUUCAGGAACCUUAGAGCAGGCCUGUGGCAUGGUGAAGUUCUCCGUCAGGUAGUCUCUCCACUCUCAUGAUUAACAUGGGGCUGGGGAGGCAGAGGAACAGCUUUUAUUCUCAACCACUUUUAAAUAGUCCAUUUUUCUUUUUUGCUUCCUUUUCAACAAAGGGGAAGGGAGAACUUUCUUUCCGUAGCCUGUUCCACUUGUCCAAGCCACGCAGCAUACAAUUGACACUGUUUAGAAUGAAAGCACAUAUAUUUCAGUUCCUAAUUAGUUGUGCCUGUAACAGCUCAUGGAGGGACUAUGACAAAAUUCAGGGAAUGGAAUAAAGCCAUGGCUUACCAUAGGAGCAGUGAACACUGGCUACCAAGUGCAAUGUCCUUUGACUUCCAGGUCUAUCACUGUUGAGGAAGAACUCUGAAGACGGACCUUGGCUGGUGAAGCAAGAUGGUGGCUUGGUCAAGUCCAUGGAUAAGGAAAGAAUGAAAAUCACAUUCUAGAAGAUUCAGUCACACUAUUAUUGCAUGGUCAUAUUGUAGGCAGUAGGUUAAGUGUUAUAGUUGGCACUAUUUUGCUUAGCGUUGUAAACAGGUUGGUGAGCUGUUUGCAUCCACAUUUUACAAAUAAGGAAGUCAAGGACACACAGAAUAAUGAAUAUUGCACAAAACUGGGUCUUGGAGCUUUUCUUUCAAAGUGGGAUGUGUCCACAGAUGUCCCUGGGUGGCAGCGGCACGUAAACAUGACAAAGGAAUCCCAGGGCACAAUACCAUGGAUAUUUAAGAAAUGCCUGGUGAUCUCAUAAUCUCCACCAGUGCAUUGUUUGAGUUGAGGGAUCGGGAGGAAAAAAUGCCGAGAAAUAUUUCAUGAUCUGGAAACUUUCAGCUCCUUUAAUAUGAAAAUGUUCAACAUGAAGUAUUAAAGAUGUAAGGAUUCAGAGGUUGCAGGAGGCCAAGGAAGAUUAAGAGAUUCUUUCCUCCAAAUCAAGUGCAUAGUGUAUCCAUUAUGGGGCAUGGAGAGUCCCCUCCCCUCCCCCAUCCUCUCCACUUAAUGGGAAAAUGUUGAAAACUUUGAAGAAAUGCUUUCUUUGUUCUUUAAGUUCCAUGAUUAAUUAGGUAUAAGCCAUGUUUCAAAACGUUUCGUCAUUUAUUUGUAAUUCUCCCCAAAGCGUGUACAGUAACUUGGCUCAGAACACACAGAUUACAUUGCAAAUGCUGCUCAUAUGCUGAAACUUUUUGUUUCCUUCCCGUCUCUUCUUUCCCCUACAAUACUUGAGUGGAAGAACAAAGCUGGAUUUCAGUUGGAGAGUGCACUCUGCUCUGUAUGGAUUUCCCUAUCGGUAACCUCCAGAAGGGGACUGUAACAGGAAGCAUUCGGUGGUCGGCCUCAUAACCACACUCAAGGCGGAGACACCAGGGUUGCUCUAGCCCCGGGAUCUCUGCACCAGUCAAGCAAGGACGUGCAUUUGCUUCAAGUCCCUCUUCAUCUCUGCAUCUCCACUGACAGUGGCCCCGGGAGUGGUAACCAAGCAUCAGGUGGUGAGCAAGGGAGUGUAGUGGUAAACAUGUGCUGCCAACUGAGGAGUCUGGCUCAGCUUUCAGAGUGUCACUCCUCUUUUCUAU
rnacentral:lncRNA from 1 species